GGAAUUUUCCGCAAUGGGCGAAAGCCUGACGGAGCAACGCCGCGUGAGGGAUGAAGGCCUCUGGGCUGUAAACCUCUUUUAUCAAGGAAGAAGAUCUGACGGUACUUGAUGAAUAAGCCACGGCUAAUUCCGUGCCAGCAGCCGCGGUAAUACGGGAGUGGCAAGCGUUAUCCGGAAUUAUUGGGCGUAAAGCGUCCGCAGGCGGCCCUUCAAGUCUGCUGUUAAAAAGUGGAGCUUAACUCCAUCAUGGCAGUGGAAACUGUUGGGCUUGAGUGUGGUAGGGGCAGAGGGAAUUCCCGGUGUAGCGGUGAAAUGCGUAGAUAUCGGGAAGAACACCAGUGGCGAAGGCGCUCUGCUGGGCCAUCACUGACGCUCAUGGACGAAAGCCAGGGGAGCGAAAGGGAUUAGAUACCCCUGUAGUC
rnacentral:rRNA from 1 species